rnacentral:rRNA from 1 species
GCCCAAUGGUUAAGUAUUUUUACGAAAUUGAAUAAAAAAAAAACUAAAUGGCUGCAGUAACUAUGACUGUAUGAAUGUAGCAUAAUCAUUCGCCACUUAAUUAGUGGAUAGUAUGAACGGUUAAACGAAAAUUUCUCUGUCUUAUAUAAUAAACAAAAAAUUUAAAUUAUAGUUAAGAUGCUAUAUAAAAUUGUAAGACGAAAAGACCCUAUAAAGCUUAACUAUAAUCUUUUACAAAUCAUUAAAAAAAAUAAGAAAAAAGAUUGGUAGUUUCAUUGGGGCGAUGGUCUCUAAAAAAAAACAGAGAUAAACUAUAUUUAUAAUAAAAAAAAAAUUUACUGCUUAAUUUAUAAAUUUAACAGUUACAAAGUAGGUUAUAAUGACCCAUUAUUUACCUAAAAAAAGAAAUAAUGAUCAAAAAAUAAAAGCUACUUUAGGGAUAACAGGAUAAUUUUUUCCAAGAGAUCUUAUCGAAGAAAAAGUUUAUCACCUCGAUGUUGAAUUAAGAUACCCCA